rnacentral:rRNA from 1 species
AUACGGGAGGCAGCAGCAAGGGAUUUUCCCCAAUGGGCGCAAGCCUGAGGGAGCAACGCCGCGUGCGGGAUGACGGCCUUCGGGUUGUAAACCGCUUUUCGGGGGGAAGACAAUGACGGUACCCCCGGAAUAAGCCCCGGCUAACUCUGUGCCAGCAGCCGCGGUAAUACAGAGGGGGCAAGCGUUGUCCGGACUGACUGGGCGUAAAGCGCACGCAGGCGGUCGCGGGCGUCGGUGCUGAAAGUCCACCGCUUAACGGUGGAUCGCGUGCCGAUACGCCGCGACUGGAGCCAUGUAGAGGUCCGUGGAAUUGCCGGUGUAGUGGUGAUAUGCGUAGAUAUCGGCAGGAACACCCAAGGGGAAGCCAACGGACUGGGCAUGGGCUGACGCUCAUGUGCGACAGCGUGGGGAGCGAACUGGAUUAGAUACCCUGGUAGC